ACAUGCAAGUCGAACGAUGAACCACUUCGGUGGGGAUUAGUGGCGAACGGGUUGAGUAACACGUUGGGCAAUCUGCCCUGCACUCUGGGACAAGCCCUGGAAACGGGGUCUAAUACCGGAUACUGACCCGCCUGGGCAUCCAGGCGGUUCGAAAGCUCCGGCGGUGCAGGAUGAGCCCGCGGCCUAUCAGCUUGUUGGUGAGGUAACGGCUCACCAAGGCGACGACGGGUAGCCGGCCUGAGAGGGCGACCGGCCACACUGGGACUGAGACACGGCCCAGACUCCUACGGGAGGCAGCAG
rnacentral:rRNA from 1 species